UACAGAGGGGGCAAGCGUUGUUCGGAAUUACUGGGCGUAAAGGGCGCGUAGGCGGCCUGCUAAGUCGAACGUGAAAUCCCCGGGCUCAACCCGGGAACUGCGUCCGAUACUGGCAGGCUUGAAUCCGGGAGAGGGAUGCGGAAUUCCAGGUGUAGCGGUGAAAUGCGUAGAUAUCUGGAGGAACACCGGUGGCGAAGGCGGCAUUCUGGACCAAUACUGACGCUGAGGAGCGAAAGCCAGGGGAGCAAACGGG
rnacentral:rRNA from 1 species